AACGCUGGCGGCGUGCCUAACACAUGCAAGUCGAACGGAGUAUACAUUUUAGAUCUCUUCGGAGUGACGAGGUGUAGACUUAGUGGCGGACGGGUGAGUAACGCGUGAGCAAUCUGCCUCAGGGAGGGGGAUAACACAGAGAAAUCUGUGCUAAUACCGCAUGACAUAUCGGAACCACAUGAUUCUGAUAUCAAAACUCCGGUGCCCUGAGAUGAGCUCGCGUCCGAUUAGCUAGUUGGUAGGGUAACGGCCUACCAAGUCGACGAUCAGUAGCCGAACUGAGAGGUUGAUCGGCCACAUUGGGACUGAGACACGGCCCAGACUCCUACGGGAGGCAGCAGUGGGGGAUAUUGCGCAAUGGGGGAAACCCUGACGCAGCAACGCCGCGUGCAGGAUGACGGCCUUCGGGUUGUAAACUGUUGUCGCAAGGGAAGAAGAAAGUGACGGUACCUUGUGAGAAAGCCACGGCUAACUACGUG
rnacentral:rRNA from 1 species